rnacentral:rRNA from 1 species
GGGUUGUACUGCCUGCGCCUGGCCUUUCCUUCUAGGGAUCUGUGGUGCUCUUAGCUGAGUGCUGCAGGGAACUAGGACUUUUUACUUUGAAAAAAUUAGAGUGUUUAAGCACGCCUUUGCUUGAAUACUUCAGCAUGGAGAGUAAUAAGUAUAGGACUCUUGGUGUUAUUUUGUUGGUUUCUAGGACCGAAGUAUGAUUUAUAGGGAUAGUUGGGGGCGUUAGUAUUUUAUUGUCUGAGAUGAAAUCUUGGAUAUUUGAGAGAGUAAAAUUCUGCGAGAAGCGUUGCCACGGAUGUUUUCUCUUAUCUAGAACGAAAGUUAGGGGAUCGAAGACGAUUAGAGACCGUGGUAGUCUCUACCCAUAAAAUAUGCCGACUCGGGAUCGGACGAUGUUAUCAUGACUCUUUCGGCACCGUAUGAGAAAUCAAAGUUUUUGGGUUCUGGGGGGAGUAUGGUCGCACGGCUGAAACUUAAAGGAAUUGACGGAAGGGCACCCCCCGGAGUGGAGCGCGCGGCUUAAUUUGACUCAACACGGGGAAACUCACCAGGUCCAGACAUGAUAAGGAUUGACAGAUUGAGAGCUCUUUCUUGAUAUUAUGGGUGGUGGUGCAUGGCCGUUCUUAGUUGGUGGAGUGAUUUGUCUGGUUUAUUCCGAUAACGAACGAGACCCUAACCCGUUAAAUAGUCACCCGAACCCUGUGUUUGGGGCCGACUUUUUAGAGGGACUGUGGA